UCAUAAUUAUUUGGACUUAUAUAUAGCCAUAUUUAUCAGAUACAAUUUUAUGCUUUAAAUUAUAUUUUUUGUUAAUUGUUUGCAAUCUCUGUUAUGUCUGAACAAGUUUAUAAUAUGUAUAAUCAAAGUUACAAAAUGACAAUCAUAGAAUAUUUGGAUAUGUAUGAAUAUUCGUGGAUGACUUAUAUUUAUAAUUCAGGCCUUGAAGGCAUAAAACUUUGCUCAGAGCUUGUAGCACAAAAAUCAUGCUCGAAACAUGAAAUCCAGCAAUUUGAUUGGUUGAUUUUCGAGUCUGAGUACAAAAAUCAUGCUCGAAAGUUUUAUGACUGUGACUCCAGGACUAUAUAAUAUUUAAAAAGAAGAAGUCUUUAUCAUAGAACAUUGUCCCAUAAAACAAAAACAUCUUGAAAAUUGAUAGGUGCCUAGUUUGACAACCAAUAUAACAGCAUGUUUGACUAUUCAAGACUUAGUAAAAUCUCUGUUCCAAAUCUCUGCACUUAAAUAUUAUUUAUUUUAUGUAAAAUUAAAAUAAAAACAGUUAACAGAUAUGUUAGUGUGUAGGUUAAGGUAAUAUCUUUCAUUAGCUUGCUUGUUAGCUGAAACAUGAAGUAAUUAUUAGGUUAGUAAAACAACCCUUCCUUUAAUAGUAGACUAGUUCAUCAGAAAGUCAAUCUAUAUAUCUGUCUUUAGGACUACGCUACUUCAAAAGGAGGGUAGUAUACCAUGCCUAAAAAUGACUCCACGGUUCAGCUAACAAGCAAGUGACCAAAGAGAUUACCUUUACCUACACACUCAUUGUAUAGCAUUAGAUAUAUGAUCUACUGUACAAUUACUUGUAUCUGUUAAUUGAACAAAUACUCAUUCUGAUCACUGCCCAUAGUUAUCAAACAUUUUGUUAUAUUCACCACAUACAAAUGGAUCUGCAUAAUUUCAGAAAAAAUCAUGUAGUAAAAAGAAAUACAACUUAGGAACAAAGAUAUGAUCCAACAUGAAUUAUUAUUUUUACACUCUUGACUUUGUAUUUACUUUUUAAUUUCUUUUUAUUUACAUGUAUGUGUAUCAAUUAAGUAUGUAUUUGGCAGCAAAUAAAGGGCAUUACAAAACCUUGUAUGUACAGAUACCAUCCUUUUUCAAAAUAAAUUUAAAAGACUAAAUCUUCCAUAACACAAUGUUUCAGUCUAACAUUUUUAAAAGAUGUUUGUAUGAGAUGUAGGUGUAUCUCUCAAAAAGCUUGAUUCCUACUACCAAUUGAAUAAAGGCCACAAAUAAUUAAACUUUAAAAUAAAAUCAAAGGUUAGCUGCUGAAUAUUUUACUAGUUUUCAUGGAAUAAGAAAUUGCUCUUUUAGAAUUGGCUGAAACACUUAUUAUAAUAAGGAGUAAAGCAGACAUUAAACCUAAUUUUUCACAUUGGCAGGAAAUAACUUUUAAAAUAAAGCAAGUAUUUAGAUUUUUUUCAGAGAUGUAAGGAGAACAUUCAGGAUAAAUAGAAAGCAUUAAAAAGUGGGGUUUUUUCAUACCUCGACCAUACUAGUACAAUUUUUUCCAUUUUUAUUUGUUAGUAGUUCUUGUUUGUAUAUAUAUAUAUUUGUAUAAAGCAAUGCUUUUCUUUCAUACGACAAAACCAAGAUACAAGUUAUAACAAUUCUCAUGUUGUCUAUGUCAAGGCAUCAUUUCAUUAAAAGGCUGAUAAUAUCAACUAAAAACCAAAUGUUUAUAAUGAGCUCCCCAUUCUUAAAAAGAAAUCUGACUUUUUGAUGUUGCAAAAGAAGAAAAAAAAAAGGAAACAAAAAAAAUGGUUUUGGGAGCAACAAACUAAAUACUUUCUGUGGAUACAUAUUUGUAUAACAGUCAGUUUAAAAGUGAAAUUUAUUCAUUUUGAUGCCCCAUAAAAAGCUUCUUCAUAACUUAUAAAGGAAGCAUUUGUUUUCUAUCCAUUUUUUGUUAUAACAAUUAUACCCUUUAAAUCUGUAUGUGAUAGCUAGAAAUGUAGAAAUAGUGGCCAUAUUAACAAAUCUACAAUUUUUUGUAGUAAUCCUAUCUAAGAAAAUUGUAGAAAAUAUCUGUUUUGAAGGUUAUUUUGUUUUGUUUGCAAACAAUAAUGAUUUUUCUAUUCCAUUGCUUUUUUUAUAGUAAGUGUAGAA
rnacentral:lncRNA from 1 species